rnacentral:rRNA from 1 species
UACGUAGGGGGCAAGCGUUGUCCGGAUUUAUUGGGCGUAAAGAGCGUGUAGGCGGUUAGGUAGGUCCGUUGUGAAAACUCGAGGCUCAACCUCGAGACGUCGGUGGAAACUGCCUCGCUAGAGUCCGGAAGAGGAGAGUGGAAUUCCUGGUGUAGCGGUGAAAUGCGCAGAUAUCAGGAGGAACACCAAUGGCGAAGGCAGCACUCUGGGACGUGACUGACGCUGAGACGCGAAAGCGUGGGGAGCAAACAGG